rnacentral:rRNA from 1 species
UACGUAGGGACCAAGCGUUGUCCGGAAUCAUUGGGCGUAAAGAGCGUGUAGGCGGCUUGUUAAGUCUUGCGUGAAAUCUCGGGGCUCAACCCCGAGCGGUCGUGAGAAACUGGCAGGCUAGAGUGCGGGGAGAGGAGAGUGGAAUUCCUGGUGUAGCGGUGAAAUGCGCAGAUAUCAGGAAGAACACCCGUGGCGAAGGCGGCUCUCUGGAACGCAACUGACGCUGAGACGCGAAAGCGUGGGGAGCAAACAGG